rnacentral:tRNA from 1 species
GCCUUCGUGGUGUAGUGGUCAGCACGCUCGACGCAUAACCGAGAGGUCCGUGGUUCGAUUCCUGGCGAAGGCG